CAAUGACAGGCAACAGGACCGAGCACAUCGGUUUUUACACCAAAAAUACAUUUUAUCAUUAUUUGAUCUAAUUUUUAGUGAAUACGAAAACACACAUAAAAAGGUAAUAAAACGGUUCGAACGUACAUAAAAAAUAGUACGAGAGGCAGUUGGUCUGCGGAGAGCAUGAAACAGGCCAUUGAUGUAGUUUUGAGUAAAAUAGCAGGCUACAGAAAAGCCUCUCAACUGUAUAAUGUUCUGCAGACGGUCUUUCCCAAUCCCAAGUACUGUACUUGGCGUUGUUAGCUAAGUACCCCAUACUGCCCCUACCCUGGGGCACAAUGGGGUUUUAUUGAGAGUUUAAUAUUUUUUUAUUUUCUUUUUUAUUUGAUUAUUUAUACUACCAAAUUAUAUGCGAAAUGUUAGUUUAAUAAGUUACAUAAGUGUUUCAAUUACAUUUAAUUAAUAAAAAUAUCCUGAUUAUA